GACAUAGGGGGCGAACGUUAUCCGGAAUUAUUGGGCGUAAAGGAUGCGUAGAUGGUAGAAUAAGUUACUGGGCGAUGCCAAACUCAAUUUGGCGGAAGCCGAUAAUACUGUUCUACUCGAGGGCAGGAGAGGUUGUUGGAAUUCUGUGUGGAGCGGUGAAAUGCGUUGAUCUACAGAGGAACACCAAAAAAGGCGAAGGCAAUCAACUAUUCUGUUCCUGACAUUGAGGCAUGAAAGCGUGGGGAGCAAACCGG
rnacentral:rRNA from 1 species